UACGUAGGGUGCGAGCGUUGUCCGGAAUUAUUGGGCGUAAAGAGCUCGUAGGCGGUCUGUCGCGUCGAAUGUGAAAACCCGAGGCUCAACUUCGGGCCUGCAUUCGAUACGGGCAGACUAGAGUUCGGUAGGGGAGUCUGGAAUUCCUGGUGUAGCGGUGAAAUGCGCAGAUAUCAGGAGGAACACCGGUGGCGAAGGCGGGACUCUGGGCCGAUACUGACGCUGAGGAGCGAAAGCGUGGGGAGCAAACAGG
rnacentral:rRNA from 1 species